AUCCUUCAGCUUCAUGCUGGAGCAGCUAGCAUGUGAUGUAAUGUUGGCCUUGGGGUGGAGGGGUGAGGUGGGCGCUAAGCCUUUUUUUAAGAUUUUUCAGGUACCCCUCACUAAAGGCACUGAAGGCUUAAUGUAGGACAGCGGAGCCUUCCUGUGUGGCAAGAGACAAGCAAGCAGUAUUGUAUCGAGACCAAAGUGGUGUCAUGGUUGGUUUGAUUAGCAGUGAGGACUACCCUACGGCAACACCUUGCUGGAGUUGAAGCAUCCAAAGGAAAUACUUGAGAGGCCCUGGGCUUGUUUUAACAUCUGAAAAAGAAGGCUGCUUUUAUAGCAGCUAUUUCCAGCCCAAACCUCAAGUUGUGCUUGCAGGGGAGGGAAAAGGGGGAAAGCGGGUAACCAGUUUCCCCUAGCUUUUCCAGAAUCCUGUUACAAGGUCUCCCCAUAAGUGAUUUCUCUGCCACAUCGCCACCCUGUGCCUUUGUCCUAAUCACAGACCCUUCACCCCUCACCUUGAUGCAGCCAGUAGCUGGAUCCUUGAGGUCACGAUGCAUAUCGGUUUCAAGGUUAUGCCCAAUUCGUCUUCAGUAAUGAGUGGACACACCUCCUACUAUUGAAUACUUUGAUUUUAUGAAAUAAAAACUAAAGAUCU
rnacentral:lncRNA from 1 species